rnacentral:rRNA from 1 species
GAUGAACGCUGGCGGCGUGCCUAAUACAUGCAAGUCGAGCGAACAGACGAGGAGCUUGCUCCUCUGACGUUAGCGGCGGACGGGUGAGUAACACGUGGAUAACCUACCUAUAAGACUGGGAUAACUUCGGGAAACCGGAGCUAAUACCGGAUAAUAUAUUGAACCGCAUGGUUCAAUAGUGAAAGACGGUUUUGCUGUCACUUAUAGAUGGAUCCGCGCCGAAUUAGCUAGUUGGUAAGGUCACGGCUUACCAAGGCGACGAUGCGUAGCCGACCUGAGAGGGUGAUCGGCCACACUGGAACUGAGACACGGUCCAGACUCCUACGGGAGGCAGCAGUAGGGAAUCUUCCGCAAUGGGCGAAAGCCUGACGGAGCAACGCCGCGUGAGUGAUGAAGGUCUUCGGAUCGUAAAACUCUGUUAUUAGGGAAGAACAAAUGUGUAAGUAACUAUGCACGUCUUGACGGUACCUAAUCAGAAAGCCACGGCUAACUACGUG